UAUAGUUAUUCUUAUUAUUUGAGCGCAAUGUAUUUAUGAUAUUACAAUUUUUGUUCCUAGAAUAAAAAAGGGGGGAGGGGGCGCCAAAAAAUGGCGUGUUACAGAUACACUGCCCGUUUUUAAACAGUUACUUCAAGAUAUCUAGUCAGGAUAGAGUCUGGCUUUAACAUCUUCAUUAUAGUGAUGUUUUUAUUUUAAAAACUCGAUUCUUUGACAGUAAAGUAUAUCUACUUCAGUUUACUGGAUAUCGACGAGCGGUACCUGUUGAAAAAGGUUUGAAAAGCACUGAUCUAGAUCUAGAUCUACUGGGUAAUAGUUGAAAGCAAUCGUAUAUUUACUAAAUUCUUUAUCACUUAGCCGAAAUUCGUAUCUAUAGUUUUGUAUAUAAAUAACAAAAUGGCGAGUGUUUUGCUUUCACACUCACAGCAUUCGCAGGUUGAAACUUUAAAGAGGCGUAAGAAACAAACUAAAAUUCUAAAAAAAUAAAUAAACUAAAAAUUCUUUUGUCUGUUCGCGAACAUUUAUCUUUAUCGGAUGAAGCAACACGGUGUGUCUGUCGACUGCGAAAUUCUCAGCAGCAGCAACUCAAUAUUUGGUAUCAGGCUUUUCUGCCAGCAGUCUCUUCUUCCUCAAGAUGACAUUUCUGACGUGUUCCUUAGGAUGGUCAUGUUGGUUUUUGAUUAUGUCAUUAAGGAUGUGCUGUUGAGCGAAAAGACUACUACACAGUGGAAACUGGUUCAAGAACAGAUGACUAAUUAACAACAAUGAAAAGACAAAUCAGAAACAAGAGGAGAGGCAUUUACUACACAUGUGCAGUUUGUUUGGUUUUAUUUACAGUCAUUAUUUUAAGAUCCGCCAAACAGUCAAAGAUCUCAAAGUUGAGACUUAAAUCUCGAAUGGAUUCUUAUUUUUCAGUUGAUUGUGUCUAACACAAAUAAGGUAAAUUUAAAUUUAGCAACAACGCUAUCGUUAGGGACAGUUACAGAAAAAGAAUACUAGCCAUCAGUAGGACAGCCUUGGGCAGCAAUGACAUUAGACACAUGCAGUGCGUUUCUCUGAACCACAAUUUCUUCACUAAAAUACCCAGCAAAUGUAGUUAAUUCAUGAUGUAUUUCAGGUGAUAUACUUUCCAUAUUUCACAGGCAUAAAGCAAUAGUAAUCUAAUGUGGUGUAUAAAAUACAAACAUGCUCAAUGUGUGAAGCACCAUUAAAGAGUGGCAACACAGUUUUUCUGAUAUACUGGGAGAUGUGCAUUUGUACAAACUUUUUAAAGGGAUUUGAGUUUUUCUUUGAUCAUCAGAUAAAUAUUUGAUUUAUAAGCAAAUAGUCCUUUUUUCUGAGAAUUAAUUGCAUUUUUUUGUGUAGAGAUAGGGACACCUCAAACACCCAACAGCUCUGUGGUGGUUGAGGGGGGGGGUGCUAAGUGGUUUAGUGCAGUUGCUUUAGAGCUAAGGGUUUUCAGGUUCAAAUCUUGUUGAAGAUUGUUUUUGAAUUUCAGGAUUUUAGAAUGCCUUGGGUCAGUGCAAUUCUAAUGGGUAUCUGACAUUAGUUGGGGAAAGUAAAGAAGGUUGGUCGUUGUGCUGGCCAUAUGAUACCUUUAUAACAGUAGGCCACAGAAACAGAUGACAUUUACAUCAUCUGCCAUAUAGAUUGCAAAUUCUAAAAGGCAUUCUUUUUACAUUUUAAUCCCUAACUAUUCUAAAUAUUCUAACCAUUUUUUCAUUCAAAGACAUUUUUUCUUUUCUGAGCAACUAAAUUGAUGAUCAUGUUAAAUCAACAUUUGAUUUUUAAAAAAUAAUUUCUGAUUUACUUUGAUGCAAGAAAAAGCUAAUAUUAUAAGCAUUACUCACCAUAGUCAAAUUAUGCACUUUUAUAAAGUAUGCUAAGUAGGCUUAGCAAAGCAUAAAAAAAAAAAGAAUAUUUGCUAUUGACCUUUUCGAAAAUUAAAACAAAAAAAAAAUUUUGUGCCAAGAUCAUUAUACUAUAGCUUUUUAUUGUAUUGCAUGCCACCUAAAAAAAGUUUGACAUUCUGCAUGAUAUCAACUGAGGUCAAUGAAAUAUGGAAAAGGAGCUACAAACUAAGUACAUUAAUGAAACCAAAAAAAAAAAAAAGAAUUAGAAGAUAACUACCAUGUCAGACAAAAACUGUCUAAUUUUAAGAAAGGCCUAACUUCUAGCUAUGACCAAUUGUGACAAAGAAUACAUUUUAUUACUUAAUUAUCAGAAAGAAUGUCAAAUUAGGUAGGAGGUGUGGUGGCCGAGUGGUAAAGUUGUUAGCUUCUGAACCAGGGGUUUCAGGUUUGAAUUCUGGUGAAGACUGGGAUUUUUACUUUCUGUAAUGUCUUAGUGUCAAUGAUUAGAUUGACCAUGGUAAUGACUUAUGUCAAUGAAAACAUUGAAAAAGGUAAUGAGUUAGUGUCAAUGAUUACAUUGAGAAUUGUAAUGACUUAGUGUUAUUGAUUGGAUUGAGAAUGGUAAUGACUUAAUUUCAAUAAAAACAACAAAAAUG